GGCGAAAGUCGGACUAAUACCUUAUGAGGUUUUCUGCAGACAUCUAACGAAAACGAAAGAUUUAUCGGUCAGUGAUGGGGAUGCGUCUGAUUAGCUUGUUGGCGGGGUAACGGCCCACCAAGGCAACGAUCAGUAGGGGUUCUGAGAGGAAGGUCCCCCACAUUGGAACUGAGACACGGUCCAAACUCCUACGGGAGGCAGCAGUGAGGAAUAUUGGUCAAUGGGCGAGAGCCUGAACCAGCCAAGUAGCGUGCAGGAUGACGGCCCUAUGGGUUGUAAACUGCUUUUAUGUGGGGAUAAAGUGAGCUACGUGUAGUUUAUUGCAGGUACCACAUGAAUAAGGACCGGCUAAUUCC
rnacentral:rRNA from 1 species